GGCCAAUCCACUCCACGUGUUCCGCAACCAAUCGCCCAAUUCCUUCCUCGCCUCAGUCCCGUGCCAGCCGCCGCCCAAACCCUAGCACCCGUUUCCCUCGAUCCCCACAGUAACCGAACCACCAUCCACAGCCACCUGCUCCUUCUCACAGCCGCCGCACCAUUCCUCCCUUCCGCCCCCUCCUCCUUCCCGGAUCCCCACCACAGCACCGACCUGCAGGCAAAGGGCGACGAAGAGUGGCAAACGAGGACAACGAGGGAGAGAAAGAAGGAAGAUAAAAAGGAGGCCGACGGCGAGGCCCAGCGACUAGCGCCUCUCUGCCUCAAGCCCCGGCAUCACCGCCACCAGAUCCACCUUGCAACCUUUCUUCCUCCCCUGUCUGACUGCUGCGUGGUCGUGUCAGGCCCAUGUCGGCGCUGCCUCCACCGCCGCAGCCACCGCCAUUGGAUGGCUCCGUCGGUCCCUCCCGCUCCAGAUCGAAAACUGAGAGAGGGACUGGAGGGAAGAAGGGGAUCGAGGGAGGGGAGAGCACAUGAGAGAAGGCACGGGAUAUUUUCCGCCUCGGCCGAUCCAGGCAUGGUGUCGGAUUGGAGAGAGCAGGGGAGGGCCAAGAGGCCAGCGGUGUGGAGUGGAGUAGCGAGGCCCGAAGACCGGGCAGCGGAUGCCUCACGGGGUGGAGGAGAGGCCGGCCAUAGGGAAAAGCAGCAUCUUCAUGGAUGAGAUCCUGACGGCUGAAGAUGGUCCGCAUGGGAGGAGCUUCGAAGUUGUCAAGGGGCGCCACGAGGAGUGGAGGAUCAAGGUCGUGGGUUGCCAGCUUCAAAUUUUGGUUGAGCACUUCCUCAAGAAUCUUGUUGAGGUGUCUGUUUCCCCUCUUUGUGUCAUGAAUGAUUGUGAUGGCUGCAGGGUCUUUGCAAGGAGUUGAAGGCUGAGGUCAUGGUUGCCGGCUUCAAUUUUUUGCUAAGCAAUUCCUCAAGAGUCUUGCCAAGAUCUGAGGAUGAAGGGAAGAAUAAGAAUUUAACUAAACAGUUGAAGAAGAUCAAGGUGAUUUUUCUUCCCUUUGUUCUUUUAUUCUGAUGUUAAGAUUUGUUAUGGCUAGAUGAGAUUUGUGGUGAAAAUUUCCCAUUCUUUUAUUUACCUACAGAUUUUGAAUGCACGAUUGAUUAUUUUGCUGGAUAGGUUACAAAUCUAAAUAAUAAACAUUUUUAAAAUCUACAUUUUAUUCAUGUGAAAAUUUAGGGUGGAUUUGUGUUUUUCAGAAAUGAGGCAACCUUACAUGUUGACAGUAAGUUAACUACCAGUUUAAAAGCUUAUGUUUGCAAAGUGUUUCCUGGGAUAACCCCCCCCCCCCUCUCUCUUGAUUGAUAUAUCCAUAUAUCACAGGGGAAUGAUAGUUACUUUUAACAGGGAUUGGUGGUUCAUCACAAUUUUUCUAGCUUCUUUUGUCCUCCAAAUGAUAUAGAAGGCAGUCAAGUCGCAUCCUCUAAUUUUUCAUGAUUUUUGUAGGACCUACUAUGAUGCAUAUUUGAAAGAGUGCAUCUAUUAUUUCAGCUGAAAAUUGAUCUCUAUUUGAAGGAGUGCAUCUAUUGUGCAUCUACACCAGAAGACAGUGGGUUGUUUUUUAUUCCAUGCUCCAAAUAUUUCAUGUCCAAUUCAUAGACAUCCUUGAAUUGCUUAACGAUGAUGGCAUGUUUGGUGUUCAUAUUUUUGUCAGCCAAAUAAUAAUAGGUGCACUUAACUGUUUGAGGGAAUGCCAACUGAAAGCUAAAUUCAAUUAGAAUUAUAUUUUUGCACGUGUGUUCUUGAUGCUUCAUGUACGACCACAUAGUAGGGAUGCAAUAAAUAUUUGUUUGCUAGGUUGCUUGCCUGAUGAAGCUCCCAUGUGGACGAUUUACUACUAUGUGUUAUUGGAAUUUGUUUUGAGUGUUUGCUCAGGCUGAAGAAAUUCAUGUCGUUUUCCUCCAUUUAUUUCCUUUUAUGCGUAAGUGCUACCUUUGGCAAUCACUCUAUCCAGCCUAUUAAUCACCGAGAAAGGUUUUGAUGCAAUCUGCAGAAUAUUAUCGAUUGCAGGAUCAGAAGAUGUUGUACACAUGAUUGUGUGAUGCUCAGAGACAUUUUGCACAACGGAAACUUCUUCUGAAGCUUGAUCUUAUUCAGGUGCCUAACUGACUACCGCUUCCUAGGCAUUUGUGCUUACCAGUAUGCCGGAAACUUCUUGGGAAGCUCGCCGUUUCAGGUCUAUGUGGAUUUCCACAAUAACACUACCUCCAACUUUCUCAUUUCCCCAGCUCUGCAUACAAGUUCCAAAGUAGGUGCUGGUUUGAACAAAUUACAAUGAUGUAGUCCUGCAGAUCAGUACAGGUCACCGGCUUUAUAUUGUGGUCACCGUGUUGUAAGUACUUUGGGAAACAAGUUCUGGGGUAAGUUUAUCUACUUGCUCAUGCAUUUUAAUACUUGAUUGAUGUCCUGAUAAUUUGUGAAGUUCUGUGUACCAUGUGAUAAGCUGCACAUGAGGUUGGAUGAUAGCUUGUCUUGUUGCUUUUAGGAUGUACAUGUACCCAGGUGGAUCAAAUACAGAUACCAAUCAUAUAUUAUUAUUUUUACUCGUGUGUUUUUCUUGUGCCUGCCAAACAUUUCGAAAAUUGAUUAUAUCAUUCAGAUGUAUUCAAGAUGGCUUUCUGUGAUCCAAAAAAAUCAUCUGGCAUGGCUUUCUCUUUACAUACAAAACUAAGUGUGGAGCAGUGUAUAUGUUCAUUGCUUUCUUAUCACAUCGCAUUUGUCGGUGGUGUUGUACUGAUUUGAAGUAAAUUCUUUUAUAUUUCCAAGUUGAUCAACUACACAACUUGUGAUCCUAAAGCCUUUCUUUAAAAGGGGCUGGUUAAUGCAGCUCCAUGUUGUGCUGCUAUUGGGCUCUUUUUUUGUUACUUAAAAUGGUCAGAUAUCUCUGAUGUUAAAUUCGUGGUUGAUUGCUUAUAUCCAAAAUAACUAUGUUAGUACACUGAAGCCAAUUUCUGCAUUGUUAGUGAAGUUGGCUAAAUAGUUUUUGCGCCACUGAGAUAUAUAUGUGCACUGCAUUCUAACCCUGUAAAUUGUUGUGCCAUUAGUUUAAUCUGGAAUAUAAUUAUGUUAGUACACUCUGUAAUAUAAUUAUGUUAUAUUCUGCUUUUGUCAGUUUGCUGGUCCAUAUUAAUUUCCUCGAGCUUAUUUUCACAUCUCGUCAUAUUUACACCUCUCCGCCGACUGCCACCUAUCGUGGAGGGAGAUGGCUUGGCCAGGCCGUCAACACCCAUCGACAACUUCCGGCAGGCGCCGUCCCAUUCUUCCUCCCCUUACUCUGAUGCCUUCAUGGCCAAAAUCAUUAACAGGAGCAAGAAGGUUAAGCACCAAUUAUGGUUAAAGCUUUGUCUCUUUUGUGUACUAUGCAUGAUUGAUCUGAUUUUGUUGGUCGGCUUAAAAAUUCAAGUAAUACCACUAUUGCAAUACAUCUUACUACAUGUGCAUUUAUUUGCAUUGAUAUUUUCUCCUCCUUAGGCUCCAAAUCAUUUGUGGGUCAUAAAUUAUUGUGCAUUAUUGAUGAUUAAUUUGCAAUUUAAAUGAUAGUAGGGCUAGGUUUUAGAAGUGCAAUGGCUUGAAAUGUGACCUUCCAGUCAAGAAAUUUCCUCAGUAAGAAGCUUAUGUGAAGAAUGAUGUAAUUAAGCUAGCAAUUUACAUUUCUCUUUGAUAAUUAUAACUGAAUUGUCAAUGGCCAGAUCUCUCGAAUAGUGAGUUACUCCCUCAAUUUUACAAUAGAGAUAAUUUGUGAAAAUUGUGUUUUUGUGAUGUUUGUGGUCUUCUCUUUUCUUUUUCUUGAUUUGUAUUGGAUAUGCUACUCGCAUCUUUGAACAUGCAUAGGGCCUCUCAGUCUUUAACUCUGACUAUAAAAAUCCAUUAAUGGAAGCUGGGGAGGGCCGAGAUGAACAUCCGACCCCCUGGGUCUAAGCCAUCGAGAUGGUAGAGACGACGUUUCCAUGUCAUCUACUCCAGCAGCCGGACAAGGCAUAUAAGAACCAUGGAUCCUUUGCUCCCCAGGCCGCAAAAUGAUCACAGUGAUGUCUACGACCUCCUCCUAGAUGUAUUAAUCUCAAUCUCAUGUUUGGUUUUCUUCCCUUUUCUCUUCUAAUGAUGUAAUUUCUUUUACAAAGAUAACACCAUGUUUGUUGUAAUGCCUUAUUUGAUGUAAGAUCCCUUUUCUACUUUGAAUGAAUUUACUGCAUA